rnacentral:rRNA from 1 species
UGGGGAAUUUUGGACAAUGGGCGAAAGCCUGAUCCAGCAAUGCCGCGUGUGUGAAGAAGGCCUUCGGGUUGUAAAGCACUUUUGUCCGGAAAGAAAUGGCUCUGGUUAAUACCUGGGGUCGAUGACGGUACCGGAAGAAUAAGGACCGGCUAACUACGUGCCAGCAGCCGCGGUAAUACGUAGGGUCCAAGCGUUAAUCGGAAUUACUGGGCGUAAAGCGUGCGCAGGCGGUUGUGCAAGACCGAUGUGAAAUCCCCGAGCUUAACUUUGGAAUUGCAUUGGUGACUGCACGGCUAGAGUGUGUCAGAGGGGGGUAGAAUUCCACGUGUAGCAGUGAAAUGCGUAGAGAUGUGGAGGAAUACCGAUGGCGAAGGCAGCCCCCUGGGAUAACACUGACGCUCAUGCACGAAAGCGUGGGGGGCAAACAGG